rnacentral:snoRNA from 1 species
GAGUGAAGAUGGGAUUGAGAGGGGAGGGAGGGAAGAAGGAGUAACAAAAGUGAAAACAAAAACUAAAAACUAAAAUCUAUUUGAAAUUGUUUUCACUUUCAAGUUUUUGUUUUCACUUUUGUUACUCUUCCCUCCCAUUCUCUGUCUCAAUCUCAUCAUCACUUCCAUUCUCACUCU